rnacentral:misc_RNA from 1 species
CUGGAUUAGAAAGUUCGAUGCUUAUAAGAGUGCUUGAAGUGCUGGUGUUUUUAGCUUAAAAUAAUGGCUUCUGGAAUUGGAUGUGAGGUGAAAUAUUGCACAGGAUGGGGCUAUUGCUAUUUAUGGUAGAAGGUGCAUGGUGUUGCACUGUGGUGUGGAAGGGUAGUAGUAUGGGUUGUGACGAGUAUUUCUUUGUGAUGUGAUGAAAUUUGUUGCUUCUUGCUAAUUGUGGG